rnacentral:rRNA from 1 species
AGUGAACGCUAGCGGUAGGCCUAACACAUGCAAGUCGAACGGCAGCACAGGAGAGCUUGCUCUCUGGGUGGCGAGUGGCGGACGGGUGAGGAAUACAUCGGAAUCUACUCUGUCGUGGGGGAUAACGUAGGGAAACUUACGCUAAUACCGCAUACGACCUACGGGUGAAAGCAGGGGACCUUCGGGCCUUGAGCGAUUGAAUGAGCCGAUGUAGGAUGAGCUAGUUGGCGGGGUAAAGGCCUACCAAGGCGACGAUCCGUAGCUGGUCUGAGAGGAUGAUCAGCCACACUGGAACUGAGACACGGUCCAGACUCCUACGGGAGGCAGCAGUGGGGAAUAUUGGACAAUGGGCGCAAGCCUGAUCCAGCCAUACCGCGUGGGUGAAGAAGGCCUUCGGGUUGUAAAGCCCUUUUGUUGGGAAAGAAAUCCAGCUGGCUAAUACCCGGUUGGGAUGACGGUACCCAAAGAAUAAGCACCGGCUAACUUCGUGCCAGCAGCCGCAGUAA